AAACUUUAUUGGAUUUUUUUAAAUUUACAUUUUAAAUGUUAUCCCCUUUCCUGGUUUCCCAUCCAGAAACCUGCUAUCCCAUCCCCCCCAACCCUGCUUCUAUGAGGGUAUCUCUCCAUUUAAUUUGAUACUUGAAGCAAUCUCACUAAAAUCAGAGACAAGACAAGGAUGCCCACUCUCCCCAUAUCUAUUCAAUAUAGUACUCAAAGUGCUAGACAGGAAGUGGUAGCAAGAACAACUCAUCUGGAAAGGCAAAAAACCCAAAAUAGUGGGGGAAAAAAUCUUAAUGAUAAAAGAACGGCUGGGGGAAUCACCAUUCCUGACCUCAAGCUCUACUGCAGAGCAAUAGUGAUAAAAAGUGCAUGGUAUUGGUAAAGAGACAGACAGGUUGAUCAAGUGAGGGUUGGA
rnacentral:lncRNA from 1 species